rnacentral:rRNA from 1 species
AGGACGAACGCUGGCGGCGUGCCUAACACAUGCAAGUGGAGCGACGAACCAGGCUUCGGCCUGGGGCAAAGCCGCGAACGGGUGAGUAACACGUGGGUAACCUGCCCUGAUGAUCGGGACAACCCGAGGAAACUCGGGCUAAUACCGAAUGUGUCCCUCGGCCAUAAGGCCGUUGGGGAAAGGAAGCUUCGGCCUCCGCAUCGGGAUGGGCCCGCGGCCCAUUAGCUUGUUGGUGAGGUAACGGCUCACCAAGGCAACGAUGGGUAGCUGGUCUGAGAGGACGAUCAGCCACACUGGGACUGAGACACGGCCCAGACUCCUACGGGAGGCAGCAGUGGGGAAUCUUGCGCAAUGCGCGAAAGCGUGACGCAGCAACGCCGCGUGGGGGAAGACGGCCUUCGGGUUGUAAACCCCUUUCAGUUGGGACGAAGCUUCGCCGGUGAAUAGCCGGCUGGAGUGACGGUACCUUCAGAAGAAGCCCCGGCUAACUACGUGCCAGCAGCCGC